rnacentral:rRNA from 1 species
CCUACGGGCGGCAGCAGUGGGGAAUAUUGCACAAUGGGGGAAACCCUGAUGCAGCGACGCCGCGUGAGUGAAGAAGUAUCUCGUUCCGUAAAGUUCUGUCGCAGGGGACGAAAAUGACGGUACCUUGCAAGAAAGCUCCGGCUAACUACGUGCCAGCAGCCGCGUGAAUACGUAGGGGGCAAGCGUUGUCCGGAAUUACUGUGUGUAAAGGGAGCGUAGGCGGGAGGAUAAGUUGAAGGUGAAAUCUAGGGUCUCAAGCAAUAGCUGCGUUCAACACUGGUCUUCUUGAGUGAAGUAGAGGUAGGCGGAAUGCCUAGUGUAGCGGUGAAAGGCGUAGAUAUUAGGAGGAACACCGGUGGCGAAGGCGGCCUAUUGGGCUUUAACUGACGCUGAGGCUCGAAAGCGUGGGGAGCAAACAGGAUUAGAUACCCUAGUAGUC